rnacentral:rRNA from 1 species
GGAUUAGUGGCGAACGGGUGAGUAACACGUGGGCAAUCUGCCCUUCACUCUGGGACAAGCCCUGGAAACGGGGUCUAAUACCGGAUAACACCGGCUUCCGCAUGGAGGCUGGUUGAAAGCUCCGGCGGUGAAGGAUGAGCCCGCGGCCUAUCAGCUUGUUGGUGGGGUAAUGGCCCACCAAGGCGACGACGGGUAGCCGGCCUGAGAGGGCGACCGGCCACACUGGGACUGAGACACGGCCCAGACUCCUACGGGAGGCAGCAGUGGGGAAUAUUGCACAAUGGGCGAAAGCCUGAUGCAGCGACGCCGCGUGAGGGAUGACGGCCUUCGGGUUGUAAACCUCUUUCAGCAGGGAAGAAGCGAAAGUGACGGUACCUGCAGAAGAAGCGCCGGCUAACUACGUGCCAGCAGCCGCGGUAAUACGUAGGGCGCAAGCGUUGUCCGGAAUUAUUGGGCGUAAAGAGCUCGUAGGCGGCUUGUCACGUCGGGUGUGAAAGCCCGGGGCUUAACCCCGGGUCUGCAUCCGAUACGGGCAGGCUAGAGUGUGGUAGGGGAGAUCGGAAUUCCUGGUGUAGCGGUGAAAUGCGCAGAUAUCAGGAGGAACACCGGUGGCGAAGGCGGAUCUCUGGGCCAUUACUGAC